rnacentral:rRNA from 1 species
GAUGAACGCUAGCUACAGGCUUAACACAUGCAAGUCGAGGGGAAACGCCAUUGAAGCUUGCUUCGAUGGUCGUCGACCGGCGCACGGGUGAGUAACGCGUAUCCAACCUGCCUCUGACCAAGGGAUAACCCGUCGAAAGUCGGCCUAAUACCUUAUGCAGUCGUCGGAAGUCAUCUGAUGACGACGAAAGAUUUCAUCGGUGAGAGAUGGGGAUGCGUCUGAUUAGCUUGUUGGCGGGGUAACGGCCCACCAAGGCAACGAUAAGUAGGGGUUCUGAGAGGAAGGUCCCCUACAUUGGAGCUGAGGCACAGACCAAACUGCGACGGGAGGGAGCAGUGAGGAAUAUUGUGGGAGGGGCGAGAGCCUGAACCAGCCAAGUAGCGUGCAGGAGGACGGCCGUAGGGGUUGUAAACUGCUUGUAUGCGGGGAUAAAGUGAGAGACGUGUCCUUCAUUGAAGGUACCGAAUGAAUAAGGACCGGCUAAGUCCGUG